rnacentral:rRNA from 1 species
CUGAGUACGGCGGAACACGUGAAAUUCCGUCGGAAUCCGGGAGGACCAUCUCCCAAGGCUAAAUACUCCCUAGUGACCGAUAGUGAACCAGUACCGUGAGGGAAAGGUGAAAAGCACCCCGGAAGGGGAGUGAAACAGUUCCUGAAACCGUGUGCCUACAAGUAGUUAGAGCCCGUUAAUGGGUGAUAGCGUGCCUUUUGUAGAAUGAACCGGCGAGUUACGAUUUGUUGCAAGGUUAAGCGGAAAAAGCGGAGCCGUAGCGAAAGCGAGUCUGAAUAGGGCGCAUAAGUAACAGGUCGUAGACCCGAAACCAGGUGAUCUACCCAUGUCCAGGAUGAAGGUAAGGUAAUACUUACUGGAGGUCCGAACCCACGCACGUUGAAAAGUGCGGGGAUGAGGUGUGGGUAGCGGAGAAAUUCCAAUCGAACUUGGAGAUAGCUGGUUCUCUCCGAAAUAGCUUUAGGGCUAGCCUCGAGGUAAAGAGUCAUGGAGGUAGAGCACUGUUUGGACUAGGGGCCCUUCUCGGGUUACCGAAUUCAGAUAAACUCCGAAUGCCAUGUACUUAUACUCGGGAGUCAGACUGCGAGUGAUAAGAUCCGUAGUCGAAAGGGAAACAGCCCAGACCACCAGUUAAGGUCCCCAAAUAUAUGUUAAGUGGAAAAGGAUGUGGGGUUGCUUAGACAACCAGGAUGUUGGCUUAGAAGCAGCCACCAUUGAAAGAGUGCGUAAUAGCUCACUGGUCGAGUGACCCCGCGCCGAAAAUGUACCGGGGCUAAACAUAUUACCGAAACUGUGGAUGAACCUCUUUAGAGGUUCGUGGUAGGAGAGCGUUCUAAGGGCGGUGAAGUCAGACCGGAAGGACUGGUGGAGCGCUUAGAAGUGAGAAUGCCGGUAUGAGUAGCGAAAGAAGGGUGAGAAUCCCUUCCACCGAAUAUCUAAGGUUUCCUGAGGAAGGCUCGUCCGCUCAGGGUUAGUCGGGACCUAAGCCGAGGCCGAUAGGCGUAGGCGAUGGACAACAGGUAGAGAUUCCUGUACCAGUGCUAAUUGUUUAACCGAUGGGGUGACACAGAAGGAUAGGGAAUCGCACGAAUGGAAAUGUGCGUCCAAGCAGUGAGUGUGAGAAGUAGGCAAAUCCGCUUCUCGCGAAGCAUGAGCUGUGAUGGGGAAGGAAAUUAAGUACGGAAGUUCCUGAUUUCACGCUGUCAAGAAAAGCCUCUAGGAAGAGUAGUACUGCCCGUACCGCAAACCGACACAGGUAGAUGAGGAGAGAAUCCUAAGGUGAGCGAGAGAACUCUCGUUAAGGAACUCGGCAAAAUGACCCCGUAACUUCGGGAGAAGGGGUGCUCUAUUAGGGUGCAAGCCCGAGAGAGCCGCAGUGAAUAGGCCCAGGCGACUGUUUAGCAAAAACACAGGUCUCUGCAAAACCGUAAGGUGACGUAUAGGGGCUGACGCCUGCCCGGUGCUGGAAGGUUAAGAGGAGUGCUUAGCUUCGG